GUACGUAGGGUGCAAGCGUUGUCCGGAAUUAUUGGGCGUAAAGAGCUCGUAGGCGGUGUGUCACGUCUGCCGUGAAAACCUGCGGCUUAACCGUGGGCGUGCGGUGGAUACGGGCAUCACUUGAGUUCGGUAGGGGAGACUGGAAUUCCUGGUGUAGCGGUGGAAUGCGCAGAUAUCAGGAGGAACACCGGUGGCGAAGGCGGGUCUCUGGGCCGAUACUGACGCUGAGGAGCGAAAGCGUGGGGAGCGAACAGGAUUAGAUACCCUGGUAGUCCACGCCGUAAACGUUGGGCGCUAGGUGUGGGGUGCUGUUCACGUGUCCCGUGCCGUAGCUAACGCAUUAAGCGCCCCGCCUGGGGAGUACGGCCGCAAGGCUAAA
rnacentral:rRNA from 1 species